rnacentral:rRNA from 1 species
ACAUACAACCAUACCUACCAGAAAAUACGGGAUCCCGUCCGCUCUCCCAUAGUCAAGCUGGUAAGGGCUAUUUUAUCUA